rnacentral:rRNA from 1 species
UAGCGAAGGGGGCUAGCGUUGUUCGGAAUCAACUGGGCGUAAAGCGCACGUAGGCGGAUCUUUAAAGUCAGAGGUGAAUCCCAAGGCUCAACCUUUGGAACUGCCUUUGAUACUGGGAGUCUUGAGUCCGGGAGAGGUGAGUGGAACUGCGAGUGUAGAGGUGAAAUUCGUAGAUAUUGCAAGAACACCAGUGGCGAAGGCGGCUCACUGGCCCGAUACUGACGCUGAGGCACGGAAAGCGAUGG